UGAUUUGUAAGCCUGAUAACUCAAGUCAUGUGGCUGUCAAGUAUUGAGUUGCCGGAGAAUCAACAUGCUAUCAGAUUCUGAAUGUGGAGCUUGUAUUUCACAUCAUUUGAGAGAAAACUGAGAGAGAGAGAGUCAACAAAGCAACGCACAGUUAUCUUAUACCAUAGGCGAUGUGGAAUGCCCCUUAGGUUACAUGGGCAUGCUUUGUUGUAACAUCUACUUGUAGUAGCUGAAUUUAGAUUCAGACUCGCCAUUUUAGAGAUUCUAGGACUAAAUUAAAAUCGGAAACAGUAUCUACAUCAUUAAAACCGCUUGCAUUAUCAAUACAUCAACUCUAACCUUUUACAUAAAUCUCUGUUAGACUGUGGUCUUAAGAGGUAACUAGAACAUUGCAAAACUCAGCUUGUAGUUCUUUCAAAAGUGUUGUCCAGAUGAGUGAGGCUGGUUUAAAUAAAAUGUUAGUAGGCUCCCAUAGGCCCAGUUGUAAAUUAUUCAUCUAAAUUUGGAGACCAUCUAAACAAAUCUGUUUAUUUUGAGCCGUCAAAAACGUUCCCACUCUUUUUUAAACACAAAAUAUUCUUUUUAUUUGUCACCGAAGGCUACACACGGUCACUUCUCUUCUGAGAUUUUUUUUCCAUUUUGAUUUUUGUUUUCUAGAAGGUAUCUAUAGCUACACGUAUUUACAGGCUCGCCUUAUUUACACAGUCAAGAAUACAGUGUUAGAAACACAAAGUGUCGAGAGGGAAACAAAAAGAAAUCUUUAAAAAAUCAGUUCCAGACAUCAGGAAAUUACACAGUAAUGAGAACAAAAUCUGUGGUGCUGGGAUUACACGUGUGGCUUUGAUAUAAAGUCCUUCUCAAACUGGUACCUGCGUUUAGAAGUUUUCCCGUUAUACAAAGCAUAUUUUUCAUUGUUUAUUAUAGAAAAGAAGUGUCUGAUUAUUUCCACAAGUAACUUAACUCUAAUCCUUUCCUUGAUUCGUUGUAAAAACAGAAGGAGAAGUUUGCUAGUUUUACCCUGUACAUUUGUAAUUUCAGGGGGGUCCUUUGCAAAAUUCGUAACUUCAGAGACCAUUCAGUUUGAUGGCAUACACAACUUUUUUUUAAACCUCACAUUCCCAGAAUCCCUCAGUCCUUAGUCUAUCACUCUAUCCACUACACUACACUGGGUAUCACCUUUAUGGGUGUAAUCUAUGGGACAGGGUUUGAGCUGUCUUCCCUACACUUAGGAAAGCUUGAGCGUAAGGAAGCAUGCCACAGCUAACAUUCCAGCCUGUCUUUGGAACUAUUCAGCUUCAUGUUGAAUCCAUGUGGAUAUUUUGAAUUCGAAAUAGGCGUUUUUGUGUGUGUUUUUAAAACCCUGGAGGAGAUUUUGACCCAUCAUUUGUAAACAAUGAUCUCUUCACAAGGCUGUGUUAAAUUCCACGUAAAACAGUU
rnacentral:lncRNA from 1 species